AAUUCUUUCUAACCCGACUCACUUGUAUUUUAAACCAGGAAAAACUACACGAGAGCGUUGCAUAAACAUGAAGAACUGUUCUGUUUUGGGUUUAUGAUAGAGAUAAGCAUAAGUUAGUAGAUUUGGUAGGAGUAGAUAUUGGAGAUAAGGGUAGGAUUAGGGUAAUUAAUGAAGAUUAGGUGCAAAACGGCUAAAAAGAUUAACAUGGUGGAGCUUGGAGCCCACGUCUUCUCCGUACAG